rnacentral:rRNA from 1 species
UACGUAGGGGGCAAGCGUUGUCCGGAAUCACUGGGCGUAAAGGGCGCGUAGGCGGCGUUUUAAGUCGGGGGUGAAAGCCUGUGGCUCAACCACAGAAUGGCCUUCGAUACUGGGACGCUUGAGUAUGGUAGAGGUUGGUGGAACUGCGAGUGUAGAGGUGAAAUUCGUAGAUAUUCGCAAGAACACCGGUGGCGAAGGCGGCCAACUGGACCAUUACUGACGCUGAGGCGCGAAAGCGUGGGGAGCAAACAGG